rnacentral:rRNA from 1 species
AGCGAACGCUGGCGGCAGGCCUAACACAUGCCAGUCGAACGAACUCUUCGGAGUUAGUGGCGGACGGGUGAGUAACACGUGGGAACGUGCCUUUUGGUUCGGAAUAACUCAGGGAAACUUGUGCUAAUACCGAAUGUGCCCUUCGGGGGAAAGAUUUAUCGCCAUUAGAGCGGCCCGCGUCUGAUUAGCUAGUUGGUGAGGUAACGGCUCGCCAAGGCGACGAUCAGUAGCUGGUCUGAGAGGAUGACCAGCCACACUGGGACUGAGACACGGCCCAGACUCCUACGGGAGGCAGCAGUGGGGAAUCUUGCGCAAUGGGCGAAAGCCUGACGCAGCCAUGCCGCGUGAAUGAUGAAGGUCUUAGGAUUGUAAAAUUCUUUCACCGGGGACGAUAAUGACGGUACCCGGAGAAGAAGCCCCGGCUAACUUCGU